AAUAACGAUUGUUGAAAUUUUAAAACCGCUAAAAAUCGCAACCAAACAAUUCCAAUCUGAACAGUUAACACUGACAGAUUUUUAUGCAGCAUGGUUAAGAUGCUGCAUCGAACUGGAAAAAAAUCCAAACCAUUUUGCUCAAUUACUAUAUUCUUGUCUUAAGAACAGAGAAGAAAGGUUUAUAAAGAACGAAAUUCUCUUAGCUGCCAUAUACCUGGGCCCAAGAUACAAGGUAUUACUUAGUGAUGAUGAUAAGAUUUGUGCGAAAAAACAUCUUGUCAAUUUAUGGAGACGAAUUAAAAGCUUAACAACGCCAAUUUUAUCUGAUGAUAUUAGUUCCGAUGAAGUUAUUGAACAAGAAGAUGAUUUAGAGAAAUUGAUAAACUUAAAGAAAGGCAGGAGAAAAUACUUAAAAGAGGGCCAACGAUUGCUGAGAAAAGUAUUGGAACAAUAAUUACUGGAUUUAGCGAUUAUAUAAGAUUAGAUAAGAAGGAAAAUAUUUUGCAUUUUUGGGAGUCUGCUAAGCUGGAACACCCUGAAUUAUAUAUUUUAUCUAAAAUCUUAUUUGCUGUUCCUGCAACCCAAGUUAGCGUUGAAAGAUCUUUUUCACAUUUGAAAUUCAUUCUUUCACCACAUAGAUCGAGGAUGAGUGAACAACUCUUGGAAGAUAUUAUGCUAAUACGUCUAAAUAAAAUUUUUAAAAUUGAUACAUGACUAUAUGCUUUGUAUUUUUAACUAUA